AUUGAACGCUGGGGGCAGGCCUAACACAUGCAAGUCGAGCGGAUGAAGGGAGCUUGCUCCUGGAUUCAGCGGCGGACGGGUGAGUAAUGCCUAGGAAUCUGCCUGGUAGUGGGGGAUAACGUCCGGAAACGGGCGCUAAUACCGCAUACGUCCUGAGGGAGAAAGUGGGGGAUCUUCGGACCUCACGCUAUCAGAUGAGCCUAGGUCGGAUUAGCUAGUUGGUGGGGUAAAGGCCUACCAAGGCGACGAUCCGUAACUGGUCUGAGAGGAUGAUCAGUCACACUGGAACUGAGACACGGUCCAGACUCCUACGGGAGGCAGCAGUGGGGAAUAUUGGACAAUGGGCGAAAGCCUGAUCCAGCCAUGCCGCGUGUGUGAAGAAGGGCUUCGGAUUGUAAAGCACUUUAAGUUGGGAGGAAGGGCAGUAAGUUAAGACCUUGCUGUUUUGACGUUACCAACAGAAUAAGCACCGGCUAACUUCGU
rnacentral:rRNA from 1 species